GAUGAACGCUGGCGGCGUGCUUAACACAUGCAAGUCGAACGGAAAGGCCCAAGCUUGCUUGGGUACUCGAGUGGCGAACGGGUGAGUAACACGUGGGUGAUCUGCCCUGCACUUCGGGAUAAGCCUGGGAAACUGGGUCUAAUACCGGAUAGGACCACUUCUUGGAUGUUGUGGUGGAAAGUUUUUUCGGUGUGGGAUGAGCUCGCGGCCUAUCAGCUUGUUGGUGGGGUAAUGGCCUACCAAGGCGUCGACGGGUAGCCGGCCUGAGAGGGUGUACGGCCACAUUGGGACUGAGAUACGGCCCAGACUCCUACGGGAGGCAGCAGUGGGGAAUAUUGCACAAUGGGCGCAAGCCUGAUGCAGCGACGCUGCGGGGGGGAUGACGGCCUUCGGGUUGUAAACUCCUUUCGCUAGGGACGAAGCGUUUUGUGACGGUACCUGGAGAAGAAGCACCGGCUAACUACGUG
rnacentral:rRNA from 1 species